rnacentral:sRNA from 1 species
GGCAGGACCUCUGUUCCCGUGCCAUCCCAUGGCAGAUGCCUGGUAGGGUCAGCUCUCCCGCACCCUCCCACCGUGGCCAGCUGCACUGUGCUUUCUCAGUGAGAUAUAGGCCAGCUUUCCAGAGAACUGCAUCCAGUGAGGGGCAAGGACAGUUAGGCACAACCCCUUGACAUCCACAUGGUCCCUGUGAGUGUCUCAAACAGGGUGUCCCUGUCUUCUAUAGUGGUAAUAUGAGCCACGGACAUCAGCCCCAACUCACGCUGCUUCGGAGCCACAGACUCUCACUUGGCUCUCAGUGGCAGCUCGGGUUGGGACCUCACCGUGACCUCAGGUGGCGCAACUGGCCGCUCACAACAGGCUCCUCCUCUCCACAUGCUCAUGCUGCUCCACAGGUGGGACUCCUCUCCAUCUGACCACCAUACAUCGUGAUGGCUCCUGUUGCAGGCUAGCCAUGCAGCUGGUGGCCUCUGGGUGACAUCCUCUAUCCACGCUGUGCGUUGUGGCAGCAAGCAGGUGUCUAUGGCCUGCCUGUGCCAUGUGCGGGAGGGCAAGUGUGUGGGCGGCAUGGCGGUCCACAGGUGUCCGUCUUCCUUCUCCUGUACAGCGCUGCCGCAGUUUGAUUUAAUUUGACUUUUCUGAGUCCUAGGCAUAAGGCAACUUUAACCUUCAAGCCAGGCAUCAAGCUAGGAUGAACAAAAUCCGCCAUCUGACUGAUAUGAGAAGUCACCACCAACAAAGUCAAAGGGAAGGUUUCCCUGUCCUGAAUCACUUGCUCCUUUCCCGAUAGCCCGAGGCACAGCCCGAUUCCUUUUCGCUGUAAGGAUGAAGACAAGUUCAACUAAUCACCAAACGUGAACGAGUGUGAACAGCUUUUGAAUUGCCACAACCAUCUUGGUGAUUUUCUUCUGUAAAUAUAACCCACUUUCCGGAUAUGCAAGCCACUCUUGCUCAGAGGCCAAGCAAAUGCUCUCCGUAGUGACCCAGCAUUAGCAUGUGAGCUUCAAGCAUGCUCCAAGCAAAAGAAUAAACAUAAACAGAUAAUUUAGUAGGAACUGCAAGAAAAGGGGCUUUCCCAUCAUCACCGCACAUCAUCAAACAGGGAAGAGACACUCAGCAUGUCAGAGACCAGUGCUCCUCCAACACCCAUGAGAAAGCCUACCAAGUGUGCAGACAAUGAGCUGUGGCAUUCUGCUUUUGCCACAAUUAGCAGAACGCGUCAGUAAAAGAUUUCCCAAAGGGUUAGUAUCCCAUUAGUGUGGAGAAAGACUGGAUUCAAGAUUUUUAUAUCUCUUGAAACAGAUGGUUAUAAUUUAAGCUUCACGAAAUAUGGGUGGUGGAGGCGGGGGUGGGGAGGCAAUCAGAAAACCUGAAAGUCCCAGUUUCUUGUUUUCCAGGGCAAAGCCUGCAGGAUGAUUGUAUAAAUAGUUCUAAGACUCUCGUCUGCUUUUUUUUUUUUUUCUUCUUCUUCUUCCUUCCUGGAGAUAGUCUGCAGAGUGUCUGUCUGGACACAUCGAAUGGCUAGCCAGAUGGCAUUUCCAGAUCACUUUUUCUAGAAGCCCAAGAUCUCCUCAGAUACAAUGACACGAUCUCAAGCUGAUGCAGGGAAGCCAUGGAAUGAAUCAGGGGGUGGGGGGAAUAAGUUACAGGAAACACAUGUAAUUUUAAAAGCAACAGUUGAGGGCAAGACUAGAAAAAUCAUGUGCCUAUUGGAUCUGCCACAACUCUUCCAUGGCAUUGCCCGGCAUCAGCUGUGGUAUAACUUGCCACUUGAGGGCCUAAACACCUUUCAUAGCCAGAACUGUUGGCUGCAAGGCUUUCCUAACUCACGUCAAAUAGAGCAGAUGUGGUUCAGGCAGCUGCAGCUGCAUGCAGGCGCAGUCCAAACUGCCAGAAGACCUUGCAGUGUCUCCGGUGAGGCGCUACGUUCACAGAAAUGCAGAAUGCAUUCAUGGGGUUGUGGCAGCUGCCAUGAAGAUUUCAGAGAAAGGUAGGGAAGCUAGGCAGUGUGCUGUGGUGUUGACGUCCCAGGAAGGCAGCCCCUGACAGGUGAUACAUGAUAGAGUUAUGGGCAUAAAGCUAAAGUGACAGUGGGGGCCCCAAGAAGAUAGAAGUUCCAGCAAUGGUGAAUUAUCCAGGGUAACAUUUAAGUAAAUGCAAAGUAAACCCUAGAGAGUAGCCCAGUAGAAUCAGGAUGUUUAUUUAGCCUGAGUCCCUUCUAUGGGGUGUCUGGGAAGUUUGUAACACUUCUCGCCUGCACCUCAUCCUCACACUUAAUCAGGGACACAUAGUUGAGUUUGUCUUUCAAGCUCUUGAUUUUUUGGGGGGUGGGUGGGGUGGAGGGAGGGCAAGGCUGACCUCAAACAGUAUGUAGCCAAUGCUAGCCUUUAACCGAGAUACUUAAAUUCCUUCUGUCCAGUCUCCUCAUUGCUGAAAUGUGCCACUACUCAUAGUUGGACUUGAACUUUUGAUCAAUGCUGCAACAGUUAACUUGAGAAAACUCAGAGAUAGGAUGAUGCUUUCUACAUUGUGAGAUGGGACAGGGACCUUAAGGCGAGGGCUGGAUGCAAUAGUUUGGAGGCUGAAGGCUUCUGUGGUAGUCAAUUCUGAUAGUGAAAUGUGACCAUGGAAGCACACCUCUGAGUCUAUGACGAUGUCCCUAGAAAGCGUUACCUGAAGACGGAAGGUCUACCUGCAUCAUGGGUGGUGCAUCCCAGGGCGUGCGGUUCCGGACUGGAGAACCAGAGGAGACAGGGAGUCGAGCACCAGCACUCAUCUCAUUCUGCUUCCUGACCACCGAUUCAAUGUGACAUCACUUUAUCCUCUGCUAACAGCACUUUCCCCGCUCUGAUGGACUAGAUCCCCAAAGCCUUUCCCUUAAGUUGCUUCUCAUCUGGUAUUGGCUCAUGGUGAUGGGGAAAGUAUGUAGUGCCACCCAGUGACCAAGGCAGCACAGAUGGGAAAUACUGUGGACUUUGAAGAGAUGGGGCUUGGUAGGAGAUCCUUACGUCAUCUGAGGCAUGACCCUAAAAGCAACUGUGGGAUGCUGGCUGCUCCUCAUCACUUCUCAACAUCUACAGUUUUUGCUGCAUUAUGUAUUUUGGUCAUGAUAUGCUGCCCUCAUCAAAGGCAUAAAUCAAGAAGGCGACUGACUACGGACUGGGGCAUUCACCAGGAUAGGGCAAAAUGAACCUAUUCUCUUCCUAAGUUAAAUGUGUCAGAGGUUUGUUUGUAGUAACACAGUUGAUAAGAGGGCAGGUCCUUUUUAUCUGUGACAGAGCAUUUUCAUUUUCAACCAGACACAGUCUAGAGUCACACAGGAAGAGAAUUUCAGUGAAAGGUUGUCUAGGUCAGCUUGAGUUGUGGGCAUUUCCAGAGGCGUCACCUUGACUGUGGCAUCUGAGGUUAAAGACUCACUCACUAUGGGUAGCACCAUUCCCCUCCAAGGAGAUUCUGAGCUGUCUAAGGGUAGAAGAGCUGAGCUAAGCACUAGCAUGCAUGGCUGAACUCUUGCUGUCUGAUCUUUACUACGGACAUGUUAGGAACAAUUGUUUCAGGUUCUUUCUGCCUUGGCUUUUCACAAGGAUGGCUAUGACCUCGGAUUGUACCCCAAACCCCCUUUGCUCCUUUAAGUUGAUUUUGUCAUGGUAUUUCCUGUUUUCAUAGCAACAGGAAACAAAAUGAAGACAAUAUUACUCUUCUUGUUUUAAUAUGUUUGAUAUUUUUAACACAAAAUAUUUUUUAAAAAUAGUAACUGCAACAUUUAUGUUUUUAUUUUCACCUAAUGGAUCCUGGGCAGAUUAAUAACUUCCAAUAAUUUGAACAUUGAAAUUAUUUCUAUAUGCAUCAAACAAUUUUCUACAAAUCAAAUGCUUUUCUUAAGAAUAAACAUAUUUUACUCAUUUUAAAAGGUAAUUUCAUUUUCUUUGCAGUACUGGGGAUUGAACACAGAGUUUUGUGUAUGUUAUGUACAUGACUUCAUAUUGAAUUGCUGCUUUAUCCCUCACCUAAUAUGAAAUUAAUUCUGAACCAAGUAUAUGCAAAAAGGUGAAAAAAUGUUUGAAAUAUAAGAAAACAAAUUGAUGACAAGUCAUACCUUCUGAGAUGCUUAGAAAGAAAUUUACAUCCUUACUGUGCAUACAAAAGCAUAUAAAACUUAAAGGUUGUGAAACGCACAACCUAUGGAGCCACCCCAAGAUGGUUUUUAAAAGUAAGUUAAACUCUAAGACAUCAAAGUAAGUAAAAAUAAGGAAUACAAAUUAAUAAUGCAAAAUGGAUGUGUAAUAGAGACAAUAAGACAAAAGCUUAGGUUUUUGCUAUAGUGGGGAAAAAAAGUCUGGAAAGAUUUAGCUGAAGAAGAUCAAGCAGGAGGAGACACAGAUUACUAAUGUUGGACCUGAGGGUAAGAUACUAAGAUCUUAUAGACUUGAAAAUAUAAGGCUAUUAAUGACUAUCUGAACAAAUGACAACUCCUAAGGAUCCAUCGGGUUCAAGACAAUCAAACAGAGAACCCCUCAUACUAGUACAGAAGAAAGAGAAGAGCAAUACUCCAACCAGGCUGAAAGAUAACCACAAAAUUAAAGGAGUUAGUAAACAUCUGACAACAGUAACUUUAAACAGAAAUGGCCUCGACUCAUUGUUAAAGAGACAUAGAGUAGCUGACUGGGUUAAAAAAAGAAGAUCACAGGGUUGGAG